AUACGUAGGGGGCGAGCGUUGUCCGGAAUGAUUGGGCGUAAAGGGCGCGUAGGCGGCUUUGCAAGUCAGUAGUGGAAGUCCAUUUUUCAAGGAUGGAAGUGCUACAGAAACUGCGGAGCUUGAGUGCAGGAGAGGUUAUCGGAAUUCCCGGUGUAGCGGUGAAAUGCGUAGAGAUCGGGAGGAAAACCAGUGGCGAAGGCGGGUAACUGGACUGCAACUGACGCUGAGGCGUGAAAGUGUGGGGAGCAAACAGGAUUAGAUACCCUGGUAGUCCACACUGUAAACGAUGAAUGCUAGGUGUAGGAGGUAUCGACCCCUUCUGUGCCGCAGUAAACACAGUAAGCAUUCCGCCUGGGGAGUACGGUCGCAAGAUUAAAACUCAAAUGAAUUGACGGGG
rnacentral:rRNA from 1 species